AUUGAACGCUGGCGGCAUGCCUUACACAUGCAAGUCGAACGGCAGCGCGGACUUCGGUCUGGCGGCGAGUGGCGAACGGGUGAGUAAUGCAUCGGAACGUACCUUUCAGUGGGGGAUAACGUAGCGAAAGUUACGCUAAUACCGCAUAUUCUGUGAGCAGGAAAGCAGGGGAUCGCAAGACCUUGCGCUGAUUGAGCGGCCGAUGUCAGAUUAGCUAGUUGGUGAGGUAAAGGCUCACCAAGGCGACGAUCUGUAGCGGGUCUGAGAGGAUGAUCCGCCACACUGGGACUGAGACAUGGCCCAGACUCCUACGGGAGGCAGCAGUGGGGAAUUUUGGACAAUGGGGGCAACCCUGAUCCAGCCAUGCCGCGUGAGUGAAGAAGGCCUUCGGGUUGUAAAGCUCUUUCGGCCGGGAAGAAAUCGCAUGGGUUAAUACCCUGUGUGGAUGACGGUACCGGAAUAAGAAGCACCGGCUAACUACGUGCCAGCAGCCGCCGCCG
rnacentral:rRNA from 1 species